rnacentral:rRNA from 1 species
CAGCACCUCAAGUGGUCAGGAUGAUUAUUGGGCCUAAAGCAUCCGUAGCCGGCUCUGUAAGUUUUCGGUUAAAUCUGUAUGCUCAACAUACAGGCUGCCGGGAAUACUGCAGAGCUAGGGAGUGGGAGAGGUAGACGGUACUCGGUAGGAAGGGGUAAAAUCCUUUGAUCUAUUGAUGACCACCUGUGGCGAAGGCGGUCUACCAGAACACGUCCGACGGUGAGGGAUGAAAGCUGGGGGAGCAAACCGGAUUAGAUACCCGCGUGUCC